AGCGAACGCUGGCGGCAGGCCUAACACAUGCAAGUCGAACGAACUCUUCGGAGUUAGUGGCGGACGGGUGAGUAACACGUGGGAACGUGCCUUUUGGUUCGGAAUAACUCAGGGAAACUUGUGCUAAUACCGAAUGUGCCCUUCGGGGGAAAGAUUUAUCGCCAUUAGAGCGGCCCGCGUCUGAUUAGCUAGUUGGUGAGGUAGCGGCUCACCAAGGCGACGAUCAGUAGCUGGUCUGAGAGGAUGACCAGCCACACUGGGACUGAGACACGGCCCAGACUCCUACGGGAGGCAGCAGUGGGGAAUCUUGCGCAAUGGGCGAAAGCCUGACGCAGCCAUGCCGCGUGAAUGAUGAAGGUCUUAGGAUUGUAAAAUUCUUUCACCGGGGACGAUAAUGACGGUACCCGGAGAAGAAGCCCCGGCUAACUUCGUG
rnacentral:rRNA from 1 species